rnacentral:rRNA from 1 species
GAUGAACGCUGGCGGCGUGCCUAAUACAUGCAAGUCGAGCGAACGGACGAGAAGCUUGCUUCUCUGAUGUUAGCGGCGGACGGGUGAGUAACACUUGGAUAACCUACCUAUAAGACUGGGAUAACUUCGGGAAACCGGGGCUAUUACCGGAUGAUAUUUUGAACCGCAUGGUUCAAAAUUGAAAGACGUUCUUGCUGUCACUUAUAGAUGGAUCCGCGCUGCAUUAGCUAGUUGGUAAGGUAACGGCUUACCAAGGCAACGAUGCAUAGCCGACCUGAGAGGGUGAUCGGCCACACUGGAACUGAGACACGGUCCAGACUCCUACGGGAGGCAGCAGUAGGGAAUCUUCCGCAAUGGGCGAAAGCCUGACGGAGCAACGCCGCGUGAGUGAUGAAGGUCUUCGGAUCGUAAAACUCUGUUAUUAGGGAAGAACAUAUGUGUAAGUAACUGUGCACAUCUUGACGGUACCUAAUCAGAAAGCCACGGCUAACUACGUG